GAUCCUAGCUCAGGACGAACGCUGGCGGCGUGCCUAACACAUGCAAGUCGAACGGAAGUUAGAGCUUCGGUUUUAACUUUAGUGGCGAACGGGUGAGUAACGCGUGAGGAACCUGCCUUUCAGUGGGGGACAACAGUCGGAAACGACUGCUAAUACCGCAUGAUACUUUUGGGAGACAUCUCCUGGAAGCCAAAGCUUUAUGUGCCGAAAGAUGGCCUCGCGUCUGAUUAGCUAGUUGGUGAGGUAACGGCUCACCG
rnacentral:rRNA from 1 species